UAGAGUUUGAUCCUGGCUCAGGAUGAACGCUAGCGGCAGGCCUAACACAUGCAAGUCGAGGGAGAAGCCCUUUCGGGGGCAGAAACCGGCGCACGGGUGCGUAACGCGUAUGCAACCUACCUUUCACAGGGGGAUAGCCCGAAGAAAUUUGGAUUAAUACCCCAUAAUAUUAUUGGAAGGCAUCAUUUGAUAAUUAAAACUGCGCGUGGUGAAAGAUGGGCAUGCGUCCUAUUAGCUAGUUGGAGUGGUAACGGGCACCCCGAAGGCUACGAUAGGUAGGGGUCCUGAGAGGGAGAUCCCCCACACUGG
rnacentral:rRNA from 1 species